UGUGCCAGCAGCCGCGGUAAUACAGAGGGUGCAAGCGUUAAUCGGAAUUACUGGGCGUAAAGCGCGCGUAGGUGGUUCGUUAAGUUGGAUGUGAAAUCCCCGGGCUCAACCUGGGGACUGCAUUCAAAACUGACGAGCUAGAGUAUGGUAGAGGGUGGUGGAAUUUCCUGUGUAGCGGUGAAAUGCGUAGAUAUAGGAAGGACACCAUGCGAAGCGACCACCUGGACUGAUACU
rnacentral:rRNA from 1 species